AAAACGGAAACAUGAAGAUGAAAUUUAGAUAGUUCGUCGAUUUCUGUCCGCCAAACGAAUCCUUUCGCGCAUUGACCGACCGCGUCGAUUUCGCCGAGGGUCGCCGAAGCAUUCUGAGAGUGCCGCAUCGCAACUUCUGCUCCCUCCCCCAUUCUCCGCAGGACCGUACCAGAUCUUUUCUUUUUUAUCUUCUUUUCCUCCAACUUCUGGUGCAAUCCUCCAUCGUCGAGGGCUUCGAAGCUUCUCCUCUAUACCCGUGACCCUCAUCUUCGAGGGGUGUGUGACAAAGAGGAAGGAUGAUGGAAGGAGACAACUUCUCAGUCUUCGGCAAUGGAACCCAAGUGGAUAGCAAAGUCUUCCAAUCCUUCCAGAAGAGCUUCCUUCAGGUGCAAAGCAUCUUAGAUCAAAACAGAUUACUGAUCAAUGAGAUCAAUCAGAAUCACGAGUCAAAGAUCCCUGACAGCCUCAGCCGCAAUGUGGGCUUGAUCAGAGAGCUCAACAAUAACAUCCGGCGUGUCGUCGACCUCUACGCUGAUCUCUCCCUCUCCUUCACCAAAUCCGUGGAAGCAUCGUCCGAGUGGAGCUCCGCAGUGAGGCAACCAAGCCACAAGAGGAGUAGGCCUGAGCAGUGAGUAGUGUCCACGAGACGGCAGACAAAUUACGACACGGGGAGGGACGAUUUAGAGCUUUGAAGAGAAUUGCUUAUUCAAAUAACAGAUCGGAUCUAAAGAAGGGAAGGAGAUCGGCAAUUCUCUGUUCUACGCUUAGAGAAGGAUUGGGGGAAACAAUGGCUGGCCGGAGCUUGAAAUGCGGGUGGAAAUGGGGAUGGACGAGGUAGGAGAAGCUCUAUACCUCAGUGG